rnacentral:tRNA from 2 species
GCCGACAUAGCUCAGUGGCAGAGCAGCUCACUCGUAAUGAGCAGGUCGUGGGUUCAAGUCCCACUGUCGGCU